GUAGGUGAACCUGCGGAAGGAUCAUUAACACGUAUCCACGUACCAACCCCAAGUGUCACGAGUGCGCGCUGCUUUGCUGCGGCCGUGCUCAGUUUUCUUUUGCAUUUUCCACAAUGAAUUUUAACCACUUGAACCCAUCAGACUAAAACUAUUUCGUGCUUUUUUGCGCUCUGCGCGAGAAAACCGAAACAAUAAAAUAACAAGAAACAACUCUUAGCGACGGAUUUCUUGGCUCCC
rnacentral:misc_RNA from 1 species